UACAGAGGUCUCAAGCGUUGUUCGGAUUCAUUGGGCGUAAAGGGCUCGUAGGCGGCCAACUAAGUCAGACGUGAAAUCCCUCGGCUUAACCGGGGAACUGCGUCUGAUACUGGAUGGCUUGAGGUUGGGAGAGGGAUGCGGAAUUCCAGGUGUAGCGGUGAAAUGCGCAGAUAUCGGGAGGAACACCCGUAGCGAAGGCGGCACUCUGGGCCGGUACUGACGCUGAGGAGCGAAAGCGUGGGGAGCAAACAGG
rnacentral:rRNA from 1 species